UCUAUGGUCCCAAAGUAUGUUAUCCAAAUUAUGUUCCAAGCCCUAGCACGUAUGCAGAAGGUGUGCAGCUUCGUAUACUUAGUCAAUUCAUAUUUUAGACCUAGGCACAUAUGCAGAAGGUGUGCAGCUUCGUAUACUUAGUCAAUUCAUAUUUUAGACCUAGACACAUAUGCAGAAGGUGUGCAGCUUCCAAGACAUAAUAUCAAAUUCCCAAAUCCCUUCAAGAGAUAAUAUAAAUCAUGAUUUUUCUCAAGUGGUAAAGUAUAACAUUUCCUAAAUCCCAA
rnacentral:lncRNA from 1 species